GUGAGGAAUAUUGGUCAAUGGGCGGAAGCCUGAACCAGCCAAGUCGCGUGAAGGAAGAAGGAUCUAUGGUUUGUAAACUUCUUUUGAAGGGGGAUAAAGUGCGUCACGAGUGGUGCAUUGCAGGUACCCUUGGAAUAAGCAUCGGCUAACUCCGUGCCAGCAGCCGCGGUAAUACGGAGGAUGCGAGCGUUAUCCGGAUUUAUUGGGUUUAAAGGGUGCGUAGGUGGCUUUUUAAGUCAGCGGUGAAAACUGGCGGCUCAACCGCAAGAGUGCCGUUGAAACUGGGGAGCUAGAGUAUGAACGAGGUAGGCGGAAUGUGUGGUGUAGCGGUGAAAUGCAUAGAUAUCACGCAGAACUCCGAUAGCGAAGGCAGCUUACCAGGCCAUAACAGACACUGAAGCACGAAAGCGUGGGGAUCGAACAGGAUUAGAUACCCGAGUAGUCC
rnacentral:rRNA from 1 species